rnacentral:misc_RNA from 1 species
GUUUUUUAUUGGUUGAAUGCAAUAAUACAAAGGGCAUGUCUAAAAUGGCCUGUAGAGGGAAAACAAAAGCCGGGGUGGGCAUAUCACAAAUAAUGUUAACAGUUAAUAUACACACCACGGUUUGUUCAGCAGCUUCUUAAUCUGACAUCAAUUGACAGGGAUUUCCAUUCUAAACAAACCUUCAAUUGUCUUGUACUUCCUACUG